GCAUUGAUGGGGUAGUGGUAACCUGGGUUGUUGCCAUACUGUGAUACGUUGUUGCGUUCUUGACCUGCUGGGGGUUCAAUUCCCCUUAAUGCA